rnacentral:lncRNA from 1 species
CAUUGCGGAGGACACUUGACAUCUCAGGGCCUCGGGCCACCUCCUUCCUAGGCACAAAGCCCUUAGAAGAACUGAGCUCUUGGGAGCUCAUCUUCACCUCCUCUUUCUCAAGAACUCAGCCACAUUUUGGGACCCAGGUGUCUCUGCCUGCCAGCCACAAGGAGGCAGAGGAAGAUGCACAGGGAAAACCAUCUCUGGUGCUGGCUGCUUCUGCAGCUCCUGCUUCUAGAAAGUGAGUGAUUUUUAUCUAAAUGUGGAUGGUCUGGCUGCUUUUGAGGAGGUGGGAGGCGUCGGGGGAAUGGUGUAUCAUCGCCCAGGAACCAGCAACGGACACCGUGGGCUCUGGUCUCACAUUGCUUACGACCUAAGUCACGGCUCCACUUGUUAAGCACGCCGUGUGGGACUGGCUUUCAAGGCCCCAGUGUAUGCAUCUGUGAUGGGGGGGAUAACCUGUGUGGUGUGGGCUGGGUGUUUAAAUAGUGAGACUACUUGACUGUUUUUAAAGUGUCCUUUCUCUUCUGUCUGUAACCCCGAUUCCAAAUCACCCUAAAUCAAUCUUAGACCUAGAAGAAUAGAGUCUAAAACUCUAACUGGGCUGGCCCAGGCCUGUAAUUCCAGGUACCAGGGAGCCUGAGGUGGGAAGGUGGCAAGGCUUAUCUGGGUUACGGAGCAAGUUCAACAGUAGCCUUGUCGAUGGGGUGAGACUCUGUCUUGAAAUAACAUAGCAUAGGAUAAAAUAAGAGGCUAGAAGUAGCUUGUGGGCAGAAUGCUUGCCCGGUAUAUGGGAAGCCCUGGGUUUGGAAUUCAGCAAAAGAUUAAAAAAAAAAAAAAAAGUCAAGUCGAAUCAAACCAAUAGAGCUGGGCGUGGUCCCUCAUGCCCGAGGUCUCAGCAGCCAGCCAGAGCUACCUAGCAGGACUCUGAAAAUUUAAAAAUGGGCAGAGGAUAAUAAGUGGUGUAUUGGCAAGUUGAUUUUAAAGACAACCGUGAUCAUAAAGUUAAAGGAAGGCUGCCUGAGUGAGGUGGUUGUAAAGCAAGUACCAUCUCAGGUAGACGGGAAGAACCUUCUGGAUUCUACAAAAGAGCAGAAGGGUGAAAAGUCCUCGGUGGGUUUAGUUCUCACCGGGUUUCUUCCAGGAGGCUUCCGAUAUGUUAUAAUAAAGGCUGGGCUACUGACCUGUGUAAGAAACGCCCCCCUCCGUGCCUCUCAGCACAGGGACCUGUUCAUCUCAACACGCAGGAAGCAGAGGCAGGAGGAUGAGUAAUUUCAAAAGACAACCUGGUACAGAGUGAGCCCUCUCAAAAAAAAAAAAAAAAAAACCUAAAAGCCUUGACUGUUUUUUCUCUUCGGUUCUGACAUCAGUGAAAACUCCAUGUUCUGCCUGCACAGAAUCGGGAAGAGGGAAUCCUGGGGGAAUUCAUCAUUUUAAACCAAAAAAAAAAAAAAAAAAAAUCAAGCCAACUACAAUUUACUUAUUUGGUCUGCUUGCAUAUCUGUGCACCCCAUGUACACAGAGCUGAGGAGAGCAGAACGGGGUGUUGGACUCCCUGGAGCUGGAGUUUAGGAUAUGAAUGUUGGGAACCAAACUCGGUUCUCCCGAAAGCAGCAAGCAUUCUUACCCACUAAGCUACCUCUCCAGCCCGUCCUCCAAACUAUAUUUUAAUUCGUUAAUUUUAUCCUUUAAGACGUUCCUAGUCAAAUCCACUCCCUUUCACUUGCCUGGUCUACUUUGGGUCACCCUUGGCUGCCCUGCAAGAAGGAACCAUGACCAGGGACUGUGAGACGAAUAAAUCCUUCCUCCUUUAGGGUUGCUUUUGUUGGAGAUUUGAUAACAGCAACAGAAUACAUUAAAUAUUUAUACACAUGCACACCACACACACACAGAUAUAAAACCUUUAUCCAGCUACCUGGUAAUUCUCGACCCUCCCCGCUCCUGUCUGCCUGUUUCUCUCUCUCUGUCUCUUUCUGCCUCUGUGUCUCUGUCUCUCUCUGUCUCUGUGCCUGUGUCCUUGUGUCUGUGUGUCUCUGUCUCUGUCUCGUGCCUGUGUCCUUGUGUCUGUGUGUCUCUGUCUCUCUCUGUCUCUGUGCCUGUGUCCUUGUGUCUGUGUGUCUCUGUCUCUCUCUGUCUCUGUGCCUGUGUCCUUGUGUCUGUGUGUCUCUCUGUGUCUCUCUGUCUCUGUGUCUGUGUCCUUGUGUCACUGUGUCUCUCUGUCUCUGUCUCUGUCUCUGUCUUUCUCUGUGUCUCUAUGUCUCUGUUUCUGUGUGUGUGUGCACACACAUCUGCACAUUCAUGCUGUGUUUGGCAAAUGCUUACUACUAAGGUGGGUGCUCCUAGCCAUCCAAUUCCUUCAUGGUAUAUUUUUAAAACUUAGGGUUUUAUUUUUAAACGUGAGAAUAUGGAAUAUUUACCAUCAGAUAAACUCAGACUUGCUUUUUUGAUGUUAUCGUGGCUCUUAUUUUGUUCAGCUACUUGUAGGAUUUUCUGUUGUUUGUUUAGGCAGGGUCUGCUGUAGUCUAGGCUACAUUCACUGUGGGGCUGGAGCGAUGGCUCAGUAGUUUGGAGCAUGGGCUGCUCUUCAAGGACAAAGUUCCAUUCCCAGAACCCACAUGGUGGCCAACAACCAUUUCGAAUUCCAGUUCCAGGGAGUCCAACACAUUCUUCUGACCUCCAAGGGGACAAAGAAAAUAUCAGUGUUUAUAAUUAUUGAUUGCAUAAUCGAUGAUAAAGGUGUCUACAGGGCACUGAGGAGCACUGGAUAAAAUCACCCAUGUGAUGAAUUUGACAAAGGAGGAAGCAGAAAGCAAAUAUGUCAGUCUGCACUACUUGUCUUUUUUUUUUUUUUCCUUUUUUUUCGGAGCUGGGGACAGAACCCAGGGCCUCGCGCUUGCUAGGCAAGCACUCUACCACUGAGCUAAAUCCCCAACCCACUACUUGUCUUUAAUGGUCUUUCCUAUUCAGAAAAGAACUUCUAAUAUACCACAGGAUAUGCCUUAACUAACUCCAACAUACGCUCCAAUCUUGCACCAACAGUGACCAGCACAGUCUCUGCCUCUUCAUCCAUCCCGACCACCACUGGGUCCAUCACAGCCUCAAACUCUUCAUCCAUCCCGACCACCACUGGGUCCAGCACAGCUCUGACUCUUCAUCACCCCUGUCUACCACUCUGACCAGCCUAGCUUCUUCCUCUCCAUCUAUACCAACCAACACUGUGACCAGCAUAGCUUCUUCCUCUAUAUCUAUGCUGACCACCCC